GAUGAACGCUGGCGGCGUGCCUAAUACAUGCAAGUCGAGCGAACGGACGUGAUGCUUGCUUCUCUGAUGUUAGCGGCGGACGGGUGAGUAACAUGUGGAUAACCUACCUAUAAGACUGGGAUAACUUCGGGAAACGGGAGCUAAUACCGGAUAAUAUCUUGAACCGCAUGGUUCAAGAGUGAAAGACGGUCUUGCUGUCACUUAUAGAUGGAUCCGCGCUGCAUUAGCUAGUUGGUAAGGUAACGGCUUACCAAGGCAACGAUGCAUAGCCGACCGGAGAGGGGGAUCGGCCAAACUGGAACUGGGACACGGUCCAGACUCCUACGGGAGGAAGAAGAAGGGAAUCUUCGGAAAUGAGCGAAAGCCUGACGGAGCAACGCGGCGGGAGUGAUGAAGGUCUCCGGAUCGUAAAACUCUGUGAUAAGGGAAGAACAUAUGUGGAAUGAACUGUGCACAAAGUGACGGUAACUAAUCAGAAAGCCACGGCUAACUACGUG
rnacentral:rRNA from 1 species